AGUAGAACAGUGAGUGGAGAAGCAGAACAUUGAGUAGAGAAGUAGAAGAGGUGUGUGGAGAGGCAGAACAGUGAGUAGAGAAGUAGAAGAUGUGUGUGGAGAGGCAGAACAGUGAGUAGAGAAGUAGAAGAUGUGUGUGGAGAGGCAGAACAGUGAGUAGAGAAGUAGAACAGUGAGUAGAGAAGUAGAACAGUGAGUGGAGAAGUAGAACAUUGAGUAGAGAAGUAGAAGAGGUGUGUGGAGAGGCAGAACAAUGAGUAGAGAAGUAGAACAGUGAGUGGAGAAGUAGAACAGUGAGUAGAGAAGUAGAAGAGGUGUGUGGAGAGGCAGAACAGUGAGUAGAGAAGUAGAACAGUGAGUGGAGAAGUAGAACAGUGAGUAGAGAAGUAGAAGAGGUGUGUGGAGAGGCAGAACAGUGAGUAGAGAAGUAGAACAGUGAGUGGAGAAGUAGAACAGUGAGUAGAGAAGUAGAAGAGGUGUGUGGAGAGGCAGAACAAUGAGUAGAGAAGUAGAACAGUGAGUGGAGAAGUAGAACAGUGAGUAGAGAAGUAGAAGAGGUGUGUGGAGAGGCAGAACAGUGAGUAGAGAAGUAGAACAGUGAGUGGAGAAGUAGAACAGUGAGUAGAGAAGUAGAAGAGGUGUGUGGAGAGGCAGAACAGUGAGUAGAGAAGUAGAAGAUGUGUGUGGAGAAGUAGAACAGUGAGUAGAGAAGUAGAAGAUGUGUGUGGAGAGGCAGAACAGUGAGUAGAGAAGUAGAACAGUGAGUAGAGAAGUAGAAGAGGUGUGUGGAGAGGCAAUAUUACGACAGUAUUACUACAAGUACAGGUACAAGACUUAUACUAUAAUAACAAGCAUUAUUAUAAUAUCAUUUAUUUGACCAGAAAACAAGGGCAGAGGUACAAAGGGGUUAUGGUACCUGUAAAGUAUUGCCUUGACUCAAAUCAUUGACCUGUAUUUUACUGCUGGUUGCAUACAUUGAGUGUCUUCAUCAGUGCAUCACAUGUGUCUAUAGUGCUCGGCUGGUAUUGCACCACUAGGUGUUGCUAACACACUACAGUUACAUAAUUAUACUGAACAAAAAAUAAACACAACAUGCAACAAUUUCAAAGAUUUUACUGAGUUACAGUUCAUAUAAGGGAAUCAGUCAAUUUAAAUGAAUUCAUUAGGCCCUAAUCUAUGGAUUUCACAUGACUGGGAAUACAGUUGGUCAUAGAUACCUUAAAAAAAAAAGUAGGGACAUGGGUCAGAAAACCAGUGAGAAUCUGGUGUGACCACCAUUUGCCUUAUGCUUUGCAACACAUCUACUUCACAUAGAGUUGAUCAGGCUGUUGAUUGUGGCCUAUGGAAUGUUGUCCCACUCCUCUUCAAUGGUUGUGCGAAGUUACUGGAUAUUGGCGGGAACUGGAACACUCUGUCAUACACGUCGAUCCAGAGCAUCCCACAUAUGCUCAAUGGGUGACAUGUAUCGUUAUUACUAGGACAUUUUCAGCUUCCAGGAAUUGUGUAGAGAUCCUUACGACAUGGUGCCGUGCAUUAUCAUGCUGAAACAUGAGGUGAUGGUGGAAGAUGAAUGGCAUGACAAUGGGUCUCAGGAUCUCGGCACAGUAUCUCUGUGCAUUCAAAUUGCGAUAAAAUGCAAUUGUGUUCGUUGUUCGUAGCUUAUGUCCUGCCCAUACCAUAACCCCACCACCUCUGUUCACAAUGUUGACAUCAGAAAACUGCUCGCCUACACAACGCCAUACAUGUGGUCUGCAGUUGUUAGGCCGGUCAGACGUACUACCAAAUUAUCUUUAAUGGUGUUAAAGACGGCCUAUGUUAGAGAAAUGAGCAAAAGCUCUGGUAGACAUUCCUGUAGUCAGCAUGCCAAUUGCAUGCUCCCUCAAAACUUGAGACAUCUGUAGCAUUGUGUUGUGUGACAAAACUGCACAUUUUAGAGUGACAUUUUAUUGUCCCCAGCACAAGGUGCACCUGUGUAAUGAUCUUGCUGCUUAAUGAGCUUCUUGAUAUCCCACACCUGUCAGGUGGAUGGAUUAUUUUGGCAAAAGAGAAAUGCUAACAGGGAUGUAAACAUAUGUUUUUUUGUGCACAUGUAACAUUUCAGCUCAUGAAACAGGGGACUUUACAUGUUGUGUUUAUAUUUUUGUUCAGUGUAAGAUGGAAAGAACAUGUUCAAUCAGGGUUGUGUUAAAUAGUUAUGAAACAGAAGAAAAUGAUCCAAAAUGGCUGCAAAAGUUUUGCCACAGUGUUCC